UACGGGGGGGGCAAGCGUUGUUCGGAAUUACUGGGCGUAAAGGGCUCGUAGGUGGCCAACUAAGUCAGACGUGAAAUCCCUCAGCUUAACUGGGGAACUGCGUCUGAUACUGGAUGGCUUGAGUUUGGGAGAGGGAUGCGGAAUUCCAGGUGUAGCGGUGAAAUGCGUAGAUAUCUGGAGGAACACCGGUGGCGAAGGCGGCGUCCUGGACCGAUACUGACACUGAGGAGCGAAAGCCAGGGGAGCAAACGGG
rnacentral:rRNA from 1 species